GACUACAGCGGCGGCUUCCUUCAUCUCAGCAACAAGUUUGUGGCAGAGCUUAGUGGAUACCACCCUAUUCACCUGAGAUUUGGAAUACUGAAGCUUUGGAAAUCAUGAAGGCAGAACUUGCUAUGAAAGGACUCCACUGCACUGUCUCCUUCUGUAUUGGCAGAAGGGGCCUAGUGAGCACCCUUCUUCACCUGUGUCUUGUUCUGGUCUCAGAUGCAUAUUUUGAAUAGUUGCAAGGAAUAUGGAUGUGACAAUUCCUGCCUUACCUCUAGUAGAUCAACAUUACAUUUUCAAGUAAAGGGAACAUAGAUUGGAGGGUGAGCAAGACACAAAACUUGGAAGCCACGAAAAAAGAAAAGAUACACAGAUUUGAAUUCAUAAAAAUUAAAAAUAUUUGUACAAUGAAA